AUGCAAGUCGAACGGUAGAGUAGCAAUACUCGACGAGUGGCGAACAGGGUGAGUAAUAUAUCGGAACGUGCCCAGUCGUGGGGGAUAACGUAGAGAAAUUUACGCUAAUACCGCAUACGAUCUACGGAUGAAAGCGGGGGAUUCGCAAGAACCUCGCGCGAUUGGAGCGGCUGAUAUCAGAUUAGGUUGUUGGUGAGGUAAAAGCUCACCAAGCCGACGAUCUGUAGCUGGUUUGAGAGAACGACCAGCCACACUGGGACUGAGACACGGCCCAGACUCCUACGGGAGGCAGCAGUGGGGAAUUUUGGACAAUGGGCGAAAGCCUGAUCCAGCAAUGCCGCGUGCAGGAAGAAGGCCUUCGGGUUGUAAACUGCUUUUGUAC
rnacentral:rRNA from 1 species